UACGGAGGGAGCUAGCGUUGUUCGGAAUUACUGGGCGUAAAGCGCGCGUAGGCGGCUUUGUAAGUUAGAGGUGAAAGCCCGGGGCUCAACCCCGGAACUGCCUUUAAGACUGCAUCGCUAGAAUUGUGGAGAGGUGAGUGGAAUUCCGAGUGUAGAGGUGAAAUUCGUAGAUAUUCGGAAGAACACCGGUGGCGAAGGCGGCAUCCUGGACCGACACUGACACUGAGGAGCGAAAGCCAGGGGAGCAAACGGG
rnacentral:rRNA from 1 species